CGCGCGUGUAGGCUCCGUCAUGAGCCCGACUGCGCCUCCUCCCACCGCCUUUCCAUCCGACGUCGGCAAGCUGGUUGCGGCGGGCCCGCUUUUGCUGGCCUACAGCGGCGAAUCGGCCACCCGAUCUGGGCAUCGAUGAUGCCGCUGCCUCUGCUCCCCUCUUCCUGGUGCAGGGCGAAGACGCAAUGGUGGUGGCGAACGUGCGGUUUAUGGGACUUGCGGCGGUGCCCUUCUCCGUGGCCUCGCCCUCCUGCGCGGGCGCAUCCUCUGCUCUGCGCCACCCGGACAGCCAGUUCUGCAGCUCGUCAGCGCGCUCUAAUGCGUGCUCAGCAACUUCCGUGUACGCCUCCCGACCUCCACGACGCGCUCCACGGCUUCGCAGGGCGUGACGGACCCUCUGCUCGCAUCCUCAUUCGACGUCGUGCUCUGGGGCAAGGGGCUCCCGGAGUCCGUGCUCGCCGCCGCUGGUAAGACAGUCCUCCAUGUCUAUCCCAGUCUGUUCUACGGCUCCCUCUAUUCCUCCAUCCUGCUCUCCUCCUUCCUGUCCUUCCUCUCCCUGACCCUUCUCCGUCUUCAUUGACCGCGGUGGCGGCGGCGGCGGCCGGCUCCUAUUCGUACACCGUCGUCGAUCUACACCGUCGCGGCGUGUACUCGGAUUUCGCGACCUUGCCGACCAGCCCCUUAUGCUGCCCCCUUGGACUCUGAUCAGCAUCCCAUUCACGGAUAGGAAUUUGGAAGGGGAAGAGAGGAUAGAUAUAUGUCCAUUUAACUUCACAGUGCUCAGUGAAAUUAUUAUGGAGUGACUAAGACUACAAUACAAGCAAGCUCACCAAUGACCAAACUGCGAAGGCAUUCUAAUUAAUCUGAGCAAGAUCUCACUGUUGGAUCUGCGAAAAAAAAAACACAGUUUCUCCUCUAAUAAAGGGUGUGCCUGGACAAGUCAACAAGAAUAACCAAGCAGCUUAAGGUAUUCUAAGAGGUAAGGGUCAUCUUGGCCUGUCCCUUUCCUUUAGGAGGUCCCUGUACUACUGCACUAAACAAAGAUUGGAUAUGGUUGCCCUUUUCAAUUUAGAAAUCAAUGUACGGUUCGUUCUUCACUGGAUUCAUACAACUGCAUCGGCCCAUGCUUGAAGAUCUAACUUCAUUUGAUUGCUGCGCAUUUUCUCUGUUAGUACUCCACCUCUAUUAUGCUUCCUCAUAUACUCUUGUGUCUCUAUUGAUCUAAUGAAAGGCUGCAGAUUCAUGUAUUGGUUGAUUCGCCUUUCAUGGGAAAGUUUAACUUUUGGUAUAUAUUGCCAUGUCUAAACUUUAUUGGUCUGUUUUUUUUAUUAUGCAUGUUCUGCCAUGUAAAAGCAAAUUUGAUUUGUUUACAGCUUUACUGCGAUUGGACUAUGAGGCUUCUUAUGGCCAUUGAAAUCAGAUUUCCUUAUCAGUUUGAUGGGGUGUCAUCGGGUCCAGAUGAUUUAGUAAUUGUCAUAGCGAUUUGCUCCUGCUGCAUCCACAUUUAAUAGCGCGCUCUAUAUAACUGAUCAGCAGAAAGGUAUGAUCCAAGGGAAGGUUUCUGGGCGCUGCUUCCAAGUAUGAGCGUGAGAAGAGGAUCCCACUGACCCACUCGGUAGCUGUCUUGGGGGAUGCCCCGUAUGAUGUGGGAGGGUAUGAUGGAAGCAACAUGAUAUCUAACGUAGAGAUUUUUGACCUGUGCACUAAUUCAUGGAGAAUAUGCAGCCCAUUACAGGUUACAAUGGACGAUAAUUUGUUCUACAUUGGCGGGCACACAUACAUCCUGCCAGCGACUGCAUUUCAACCGUCCCUGAUCCAAGUAUGAACACAGGGAAAACUGUUCUCAUGCCGGCAUUUUCCAAACUACUUAAUGCAGCUAUGUAACAUGGCCAGUUCCACCUAAAUACAAUGUCUGUUAAGUUAGUGAACCCUCCUAUUCUCCUACAGCUCCUUAGCUAUCCCAAUUGGAGAUUUAAAUUGUAAUAUAACAACUGCUCCUGUCAAAUACUUCUAUAUGUAUCAUCUGUAGUAGUUUAUCCAUAAACUAUUUAUCACUCU